rnacentral:lncRNA from 1 species
AUCAGAUUGUCUUUUGUAAGGACUGCUUCCUUGGAUAGAAGCCAAAUAAAACAAGCUACUUCGUGAGGAAUAUUUAACUUCCACAUAAUUUUCCAAGGCCAGUUGGCAUAUGCUUUGCCAACCUUUAAGGUUCUUUGUCACUACCCCGCCACCAAAGUUCAUCUUCCCCUUCUUGUGUCCCUUUAAACCGGCCGAUAGUGUUUGUGAGAAAAUAUAAGAGAAAAAUAUUAUUGAAUUAUUGUAACUACAUUAUUACAUUGAGGCUCUAUUUAUAGACACUGCAUUCCAAUCUUUUUCCUAAUAGGAUACUACGUUACAAUCCUUUUCCUAAUAGGAUACAACGUUACAAUCCUUUUUCAAGUAGGAUUCUAUAUGCUAUUCCUAUUCCUACUCGUAUUUUAACACUCCCCUCAAGCUGGUGCAUAGAAGACAUGUACCAAGCUUGUUACGGAUGUAAUUAACACGAGGAUGAGUGAGUGAUACGGGUCAAAGAGGCAUCACUCGAGGACAUGAAGACGUGAUGGAAGACCCGAGCUUGUGGGACUGUCUAACCAAGGAACAAGUUUUGAAGUGUAGAGAACAAGUCUUAACACUCCAAAGCUGUCCAAGAAGCCAAGCCCCUUUGUUUGGGCUCAUUAAGGGCCUUUUGGUCAUUUAUGUAACAAGUGUUGCCCUAGCCUAUAAAUAGAACAAUUAGGUCAUUUUGUCAUUUAGACUUCGAUGAUAUGUUUUGAGAGCACCAUAGAGUGUUACGGGUCAAAGAGGCAUCUUAGCACUCGAGGACAUGAAGACGUGAUGGAAGACCCGAGCUUGUGGGACUGCCUAACCAAGGAACAAGUUUUGAAGUGUAGAGAACAAGUCCUAACACUCCAAAGCUGUCCAAGAAGCCAAGCCCCUUUGUUUGGGCUUAUUAAGGGCCUUUUGGUCAUUUAUGUAACAAGUGUUGCCCUAGCCUAUAAAUAGAACAAUUAGGUCAUUUUGUCAUUUAGACUUUGAUGAUAUGUUUUGAGAGCACCAUAGAGUGUCUUGCAAGGUGGAAUCCUUGUGGCAAGGUGGAAUCCUUGUAUUGGUAGCUUGCUUAGAAACGUUGGUUGCUUGGGGAUUCUGGUUCCCCUGAGGUCACAUAAGAGAUAGGUUUAUGUUGUGUGUGGUAUUAAAGGUCCAAGAGUGGAAUAAGCUCUUGGGUUGUUAAUAUUACAUCUCCAUUUGUCUAUCUUUCUAUCGUUACUUUGUUCUAAUCAUUGGCGUUCUUGUUCUAGUGUUGUAACCCGUGACUUGUUGUCAUUGUUAUAUCUUUUUUGUUGUUCAUCUGCUCUUCAUAUUGUUGUUGUUAAUCUUACUUUGGGUUGGCUGUUUCGGUGUUAAAACACACUCUUUAUCUCAUCAUUGUUGUUGUUAUUAUUGAAUUCGAGUGUGGUCUCUAAACGGUCCUUGAAUCUUCGGAUUUGUGGACUGUUUUGAGUGUGUUUUCUUGUUUUCUUGAUAAUUUUGGUAUCAUUUGGUAUCAGUCAUCUUUGGUUUUGUUCCUACAACAUCAAUCUUGGGCCAUUUUGGUUGAAAAUUAAAAAAAAAAAAAAAAAAAAAAAAAAAAUCUAAAUUUUCCAAACCAGAAAAUUGCAAAACUGUUCAUUUGGUGUUCUUGGCCGAAAAUUGUGUUAUUGUUGAGUAUUGACCAAGAAUUUUUGUUUGUUUAGUUGUUUCUAAGUGUUGGCUUUCUUGUUCACCAACACUUUGAGUCUAAAAUCUAAACUUGAGCUUGAACUUGUUGAAGUUGUUGUUGUGAACUUGAAGAGUGGCCGAUUGUUGUUGUUUAUUGUGGUCUUAGCCGUGACUUGUUGGCACUGUUGUUGUUAUUGGUGGACGUUUGGAUUGUUGAGUUCUUGGUGGUUGAUGAAGAUGUUCUUGAUGUUCUUACAACCUUCAUAACUUGAUGAAUAAAGUGACUACUAGAUCUUAAAAAGGUGAAGGAGAAAAGGUGAAAACUUGUUAGUCUUGUAAGACUUGCAAUCAUCCAUCAACUAGUCAAUCACUUCUCAAAAACUUUCUUUCCAUGUUUUAGGGAACUAGUGCAAAAAGUCAAGUCUUCCAUUCUUCUUAAUUUGAAGAGGAUUUCAAGACUUGUUUCGCUCCAAAACAAUUCCCACCAAAUCCAAAUUACCAAUUGUUCAAGACUUCCAAUUUUGGAAAAUAAAAAAAUUGUAAGGCCGUCACUGUUACUGUUCACACAACAAAUUUUGGCUCAAAUUUGGAUUUUCUUAGUUUCUUAUUGUUGGUUCCUAGUUUUGUUUGUUGACUCUAAUAACUAAUCGACAAGCUAGCACUCCUCUACUAGAUUGUAAAUUAGUUUUUGAAUACGCUUCUUUGUGUUAACGUUGUUUUUUUUGUGCUUUUCUCGUUUUUGAGUCGUAGUAUCUUUUGGUUCAAGUUCGUACAUUACUUAUUUGAGUCGUUUCAAACAAAAAUCUACUCUGACCUCGAUCCACAAUCAGGACCAAGUAACCUCAUUGGAGUAUAAGCGAGUUAUCAACGCUUGUGAGACCAAUAGAGUGAAAACAUCAAAGUGUGAAAGUGAGAAAUUGUGGACUGUUUUGAGUCGACUCGUGGACUGAUUUUUGCUAACAUUAACAUGUUAUUGUUUUUAUUAUGUUUUAGUGUUCUUAAUAGGUACUAUGGCAUCGGGAAAGGUGACCAUGAACGAUUUGAUGGCGGGUAUGAAACAUGACCUUAGUAGUCGAAUGGAGAGAAUAAAAAGAAUAAUGGACCGAGUGGAAGGAAAAAUGGAAGGGACGGAAAGCUCUCUUUGCAAGGAGUUGGAUAACUUGAUAGAGCAACCAAGCCUUCCUAAUCAAGUUCCCGUGAGUGGACAUGCUCCAAAUGAGCUAUAAGGUAAUCAAACUAACUCUUGCACUCUAGUGAAUGAGGCUAGUAGCCAACUAAGUGUGAAUGAUAGUUGCCUUUAGGUGAGCCGAAUGUGCCUCCAUUUGGUGAUAAUAAUGUACAACUUGAGAUUGUGGAAACACUAGUUGAUCCAUCUAGUGUGGAAGCCAUUGUGGCAAGUGAUAGUACAUUGUCUUAUGAAAGUCAUGAAGACCAACUUGUUUGUGAAAACAGUGAUGUUGAACAUGUUGGCCGAUUGACUAAGGAUGACCCUCUAGUUGUUUUUGUUGUAGAUCAUGUUAGUAUAGAGGGUGUCAAUGCGUGUAAUAGUGGUAGUCUUCGGGAAAGGAAGUAUGUCCUCCACCUGUGUCCAUGGACACUCUUACCCCUUUGAUCCCGGUGACCAUUUGAAAUGUGAUGUUGAUUUAUUUCAAACCAUAUUCGGGAAUGACGUGUGCGCAUUGUGUGGGCAUGGUUAUGUUGAUGCUAAGCAUGUUUUGUAUGUAAUUUGGGCUUCCCGUGAUUGGUGUGUCAUUUUUGAGAACCUGAGGGAUGUUUGGCUAUAUGUGAAAUUUGAGCCACCUUAGCAUGAUGCUAUGAUUGAUUACGCUAAUCCUAACCCUCAUAUCUUGAGGAACUUGUGUUUGCUUGUCCUUCCUAUUAUUUUGCAAGGUUCGGAUUCGAGGACGAAUCCUUUCUAAGGAGGGGAGGAUGAUACAGGUCAAAAAGGCAUCUUAGCACUUGAGGACAUGAAGACGU